CUGGAGAACAUUCUGUGGAGGCACUGAAUUCCCCAAGAACAUGACACACUUGUGGGUCUUCACUUUCCUGCUGAUGGUUCCCAGCUGUGUCCUGUCCCAGGUGCAGCUGAAGGAGUCAGGACCUGCUCUGCUGAAGCCUUCCCAGCCACUGUCCCUCACCUGUGCUGUCACUGGUUACUCCAUUAGCAGUGGUUACUGGUGGAGCUGGAUUCGUCAGCGCCCAGGGAAAGGGCUGGAGUGGAUGGGUCACAUUGAUUAUGAUGGAGCUACCAACUACAACCCAUCCCUCAAGAGCCGAAUAACUAUAACAGUAGACACAGCAAAGAACCAGUUUUCCCUGAGGCUGAGCUCUGUGACCACUGAGGACAGGGCUGUGUAUUACUGUGCAAGAGACACAGUGAUGGGACAUCUGCGGGAGUCCAGACAAAAACCUUCCCUCAGAGCACAGUGGUGCCCUUAG